AUGGGGAAUGUGGAAAGACCAUCAACGGUGGAGGAUGUAUGAUGCAUGGAGUCUUCUGUUUCCUUCCUCUCUAACCUCUCUUUGGAUGAGAAAUAUGAGGAGUGGAAAGACUAUCAAGUGGUGUUCAUGGUCAUCUCUCCUCCCUCAAACAGUUAUAAAUUCUAUGUUGCUCGAAGUUUGGGUACUUGCCAGAGGAUGGCUUUCCUCCCUCCCUCAACGUAUUCCACAUAAUUCAAUGUGAGAUUUUGAAGGAUGGAUCCUCUUUUGCGGGCAACUACCAGCUUCUCAUCCAAGAAAUCCCACUCAUUGUGAUUAAUCUAGUUCGGAUCCAACAGGAAGAUAUCUCUCCAGUGUCUUAAGUUUUGCUCUUCAGGUAAUGAUUCGGACUUCUUUCUUCCACACUUGUCAUUAAGCUAUUGCUGCUCCAGGAUCCAUUUUCAUUAUGCUUCCUCAACUCAAUGCUAAAAUGUUAAUUUUUUUCCAUGGACGUGCUUCACAUAAAUGUCCACAAACCAGCUGCUGAAUGUCCAAUGUUGACAUUUGGGUUGCCCUGUUUUGUUUACCGAGGAAGUACACAAUGAAAUGGUUAUAGUACUAAUGUGGUACAGCCAAUGACAAUUCCUCGAACAAAUAAUACCUCCAUGGACUUGCUCAUGGUGCUGGAAUUAUGAUGCGUCAAAUGUGCCUGUUUAUAUCGAUUAUAUAUCUAGAAUUUUGUGUGAUGACCAAAAAUUGUUUAUCUCUGCACUUGGAUGACACAAAGAAUUUGCAAAUGGAAAUGCACCAUGCAUUGCGUGAGAAUUAUGAAAAAUUGUCACUCUCAUAUCGAAAUUUUUCUGCAAUUUCAGCAUUUAUUGUAUUUUCUCUUCCAAAUAUCUGUUUCUUAUGCCCUAGCUCACUGACCCGAAUUCUCUCGACUGUGCUUGUCUUGCAGAAGAUCCCACUGUCAUCUGUGUCUGGCAAAAUCUCUUUGGCUGAUCAAAUGCAAAUACCGUUGAGGUAGGCAACUGAUGUACUUAUGUUCAUCUUUUNNNNNNNNNNNNNNNNNNNNNNNNNNNNNNNNNNNNNNNNNNNNNNNNNNNNNNNNNNNNNNNNNNNNNNNNNNNNNNNNNNNNNNNNNNNNNNNNNNNNCAACCUGACAAAAAGAUAAAAAAAGCUAUUAAUUUUGGUAGGUGCAUCGAUAUGCUUUAAUUUUUUUUUUCUUUUUGUGACAAGGUCUAAAUAAGAUUAAUCUUUAUCAUGAUGUUGAUUAUCAAGGUCUAUAAUCAAAGUCAAAUUAAGAAGCUUUAUUACUUUGAAUAACAGCUAUUGUAAAGAUGCAAAAAUGGGAUCUAUAACGGGUUCUCAACUUGGCAAAUACGACAACUAAAUUUCAAUGAACCUGCAGAUUAUAAUCUAUUUAAAUCUGACUUUCUCAUUAAACUUCACAAUUCAUCUUUCUUCUAUUUAAAUCUUACACCAUCUCAAAGAACUUUUUCAUUUUCUUUGUUGUAAAGGAAAGGCGGGGAGGAGUAAUCAGGGAGACUAUACUUUGUUGCUCUGUUGAGUAAUCCUAAAAUUCCCACGUCUGCCACGAAGUAUUGUGAUUUAAAAUUGCAAGAAGGUCGUCAUCCAAUACCACUCACAACCCAAUUAUCUUGGGUAGGCAAGUCUUAUCAUUAUCCUACUAAGCUGCCAGAGCUCCAGUUAAUCUUCACAAAACCUAGUUCAGGUUACUCUACAGACCCUGCCUUUCGUCCACCAAUCAUGACAGUGAUUUAUGUAGUGACAGUUCCGGGAUCAAGUGAUUUAUGUUUUUAAUGGUUACUGCAUUUCGAGCGUUCCAGAUAUACCAACAGGCGUAGGCUAUCAUUCUUAAGAGUUAUCAGUUCGUACCAAGUUAUUCGAUCUCCUGACCUCACAUUUGCAAAAUAUCAGCCCGUAUGAAAAAGUCUCUAUCACCAGUGAUUAGUGGUCUCCCAUACUUGUUUGUUAACACAAUCAUAAUAUUUUUCCAGCAAUUAAUAUAUAUAUAUAUAUAUAUAUAUAUAUAUAUAUCUAUCAGCAAGGUAUCCUGGUUCACUUUUUGUUGCAGUCAAUUAGGUGUGUAUAUAAUUUUGUUCUGAUCACUCUUGUAGUUGUUCACUGUGCAUGAAAGACAAUUUUUAUUCAGGACUAAUUGCUCGUCCUGUUUCAGACUUUUGGAUGAGAAAUAUGAGGACUGUGGAAAGACUGUCAAUGGUGGAGGAUGUAAGAAGCAUGGACUAUUCUGUUUCCCUUGUCUCUAAUUUCUCCUUGGAUGAGAAACAUGAGGAACAUGGAAAGAUUUUCAAGUGGUCUACCUCUCCUCUCUCAAACAGCUAUCUUUUGUAGGUUUUAUUGGUACUUGCCAGAGGAUGGCUUUGCUCCCUACUCCGAGUAUUCAGCAUAGUGCGUUGUGAAAUUCUGAACGAUCUAUGCUCAAAACUCAAUAGUGGUGACUGUUGGCACCCCAUCCAAGAAAUCCCACUUGUUGUGGUUGAUUGAGUUAAGAUUCAAUAAGAAGAUUUCUCUGCAAUGUCUAAUUUUUAUUCUUCAGGUAAUGCUUCGGACUUCUUUCUUCUUCCGCACUUGUCAUUUAAUUACUGCUUCUGCUCUAGGAUCCAUUUCUAUUACAAAUCCUCAACUUGAUGCUAAAAAGUUCACGGUUUUCCAUGCACAAGCUUCACAUAAUUUGCCACAAAGCAGCUAGACAUUUGGGUUGCUCUGUUUUGUUUGAUAAGGAAGCACAUAAUGAAAUGGUUAUAAUGCUAAUGGGGUACAGCUANNNNNNNNNNNNNNNNNNNNNNNNNNNNNNNNNNNNNNNNNNNNNNNNNNNNNNNNNNNNNNNNNNNNNNNNNNNNNNNNNNNNNNNNNNNNNNNNNNNNNNNNNNNNNNNNNNNNNNNNNNNNNNNNNNNNNNNNNNNNNNNNNNNNNNNNNNNNNNNNNNNNNNNNNNNNNNNNNNNNNNNNNNNNNNNNNNNNNNNNNNNNNNNNNNNNNNNNNNNUUUUUCUGCCAUUCCAGCAUUUGUUGUAUUCUCUUCAAAAUAUCUUCGUUUUUUUUUUCUUUUUUUAUGCCCUAACUCAGUGACCUGAAUCCUCUCAACUGUGCUUGUUUGCAGAAUAUCUCACUGUCUUCUUUAUUUGGCAAACUCUAUCAGAAGGAUCAAAUGCAAACACUGUUGAGGUAGGCAAAUGAUGUGCUUAUGUUCAUCUUUUGCAACUUGACAAAAGAAAAAUAAAAGGCCAUUUAUUUUGGUAGGUGUAAUGAUAUGCUUUAAACUGUUUUUUCGGUGACAUGCUCAAAAAGAUUAAUCUGUAUCAUGAUGUCAAUUAUCGAGGUCUACAUUCAAAGUCAAAUGAAGCAGUUUUCUUACUUCCAACAGCAGCAGCUAUUGUAAAGAUGCAAAAAAUAGGAUUUAAAACAGGUGUUUUCGAUUUAGUGAAUAUGACAAUUAAAUUUGAAUGAAUCCUGGAGAUUAUAAUCCAUUAAAUCUGACUUCCUUGUCAAAGUUCAAAGUUCAUCUUUCUACUAUUCAAAUUCCCACACCAGCUCAGAGCACAUUUUCCUUUUUCCUCGUUUUCAAGGAAAGGCAAAGAGGAGCAAUCAGGGAGACUAUGCUUUGCCACUCUGUUAAGUCAUCAUGAAAGCCUCACGUUUGCCACGAUGUAUUUUGAUAUAAGAUUGUGAGAAGACCGUUAUCCAAUACUACUCACAACCAUUUAUAUAUGGCAGGCAAGUUUCGUUACUAUGACCCUACCAAGCUGCCAGAGCUCCCAUCACGGAUAAGACAAGAUUCAUGCGCCAUCAUCGCUAGGGGGUUAUCCUUGUGUCCUCGCGUUCGUGAAAUAUCAGCUCGUGCCAAUAGGCCACAAUCACUGGUGAUCGGCGAUCCCCCAUAGUUUUGCAUUAGCGUUAUCAUUAAGGUCAUUCAGGAAAAACAAAAUCAUCAAAACAAUCACAUUUUUUAGGCUUGCAAUGGGAAGUACCCUGGUAUGUCUUGUAGAUUUUUGGUUGAAGUUGGUUGAGUAUGUGUAUAAUGUGUAUGUCUGAUUACUCUUGUAAUUGUUUAUUUCACACGACAAAGUAAUUUUUACUGUGGACGACUUGAUUUUCUCAUCCCAUGAUUUUUUUUUUUUUUGUUCCCAUUUUCAUCUCACACGCCAUAUAUUAAUCCUUUAGUUGAACUUGAAGAGUAUGAUACAGUGAUAGUGAUUCUAUUGAGAUAAUUAUAUUGAUGAUUGCGAAAGAUGAAAGUUGGGGCAUUAAAGAAAUGUCCAGGGCCUUAAUGAGGUGAACUCCGAUUAAUGCAAAAAAAAAAAAAAAAUGUUCCUUUUGUUUUUUUUAUCCGUUUCACUUUUUAUGCAAUUAAAAAGUAAUUUUUUCCUCAACGAUUUAUAAGAAUUUAAGACGUCUUCAAAACACUUAUCUUCAUCUGGUCAACCUGAGUUAGAUGCCUUGUUGACCUAGAUGCCUUUAUACGAAGUGUUACCAAUCUUCUUGUUUUUUGUUUACAAUAUAUGUUAAUACUUCACAUGAUUGAGUUGAAUAAGGAAUGUUUCAAGAAUACCUAAAUAUUUGUCGUUGAUGAAUUAGAUUUAUUGAUUUUUCGAACAACACCGUGUGAUAUACUAAUUUGUAGAUGUAAAUCAAUUAUAUAGCAUGUAUAUAAGUCGGGGAUAUCAUUUGUUAAGGUUAAAAUAACUUUUGAAAAAUUUCCCCUUAUCAAAAAAAUAAAAAUAAAAUAAAAGACUUUUCCGAAACUUCAAAAUUUGUGGAUGCCAUAAAUUAAUGUCAAGUCAACUUUUCAUUAUUGAUAAUAUGACAUUGUUCUUCUUUCUCUUUGCCAAAAAUAUUGAUAUAGCAUAAGAGGGAUUCAUCGUAGUCGAUUGUUCUUAAUAUUUAAAGUAGACUCCAAAUAAGAAAAAGCCAGUAAUAUGACAUUUCGCACGUAAAGCGAUAUCGACACCUCAGAGUUUAUAUAGUUCCCUUAAUAGAAUGCCUAGUUUAAUACCAAAGAGAAGCAAAAAACGAAAAAAAGCAAAAAACAAAAAGAAUUCCUAGUUAGUUCCCCGAAACAAGCCCCUUCUUCAAAUUCUGUAGUGUGAAAUAAAAUUUAAAAUUUAAUAAAAAAGGAAGAUUUUAUACAUAUAUUUUCGAAAUGUUUCAGGUGCUCAAAUGCUAAAUGCGGAUUCAACUUGAAUUUAACAAUUGCAAUAGUAUUAAGCCCUAACACCAUGCUGCAAAGGCAUUAAAUGGACCGUUGUUGGCAUGUUGGGCCUAGAAAGAUAGAUAGCCCCAACUCUUGGGCCUUGAUCCAAAAAUGGAUCCAAUUUUACUAGGACUUGAUGUACAAUUCGGGUAAUAAGGUAAAGAAGGUUGUUCGGCUGGGAUAACACUCACUAAUUGUAGAACUAUUGAAUGGGCGAGCCUAGAUGGACCAAGUCGGAUGUCAACCAUCAAAAUUCUUACCCAUUCCACCCUAAGAUUUUGGAAAUUAUUAUACUUUCUUCUUAUAAAUAAUAGCAUCGGGGCGAGCUAGUGCCCAUGAAGAAAGUUGCUUGCCGAGACUCGCUCAAGUCGUGCAUUUGGCAAACAAUAAAACAAUGCCGGGCGAGUCUUGGUAGCUCAGAGCUAUGAGAGAAGAGUCAUGGCCCUAGGCUUGCCCAAUUAUUUUCCCUUAUUUGGGCUAGGUUGAGCUAAGCUCGAUGGGAGAUUCGUUUUUUUUUCUCUCGAGCCUACUCAAAUGAACGAGUGUGUUUUGCAUUCGAAUACAGUGAGGACUAUUCGAAAUAUCCGGUUUCAUCUUGAGAAAAAAAAAUGAUAGAUGAUAUACUUGAUAUCAACGUGGACUCAUAUGAGCUCGAAACUUAUGGCCUAAUUAUGUGCGAAAACACACAAUCAGGUAUGGAGGACAAUCAGUUAUUACAAUGGCUCUCUUUAGAUUUAUUUAAUGACAGACUUCGUAAUCUAUAUAAUUCCCUCCCCCUCCAUAUUCUAGCGUGAUAACGAUGAGUCAUCAUCAUCACCUAACAACAAUUUAUGGGACCAUACGGUGAGUCGACCAAAAGACAACUUCUGUCGAAGGAUUCAGUGCAAAACAAAAGCCGCGAGAAGAUGGUUGAAGAAGAAUUUUUAGCGAGGGAGAGCACUGAGUUCGGCAGAGCUCCAGCUCAGUUUCUGAUGUCUCUCGGCCUUUGCUCCCACGACAACGGCUCCUUCUACUCGGCUCCUUGCCGUUCGAUCGCUAAAGCUUAGCCCUCUCGCUCUCUUUCUAUGGUUUUCGGCUUUCGGUUCAAUGAAUCGAGCUGAGCUCUCUGUUUUUUCUUGAAUUUCCAGAGGAGAGGCUUCUUCAUCGACUUUCCUCCUUCUCGGUUUCUGUUGAUGUCCUGGACCUUGGUUGUUGCUGAUGGUAAUAACUGAUGCGAAUCGCUGCUUGAAGAUGGCGUAUAUUAGUUCUUUAACGGGGAGGCGUUUUACCUGUUCGACAGAAUGCCUGACUCAGUCAUAGAUAGUNNNNNNNNNNNNNNNNNNNNNNNNNNNNNNNNNNNNNNNNNNNNNNNNNNNNNNNNNNNNNNNNNNNNNNNNNNNNNNNNNNNNNNNNNNNNNNNNNNNNNNNNNNNNNNNNNNNNNNNNNNNNNNNNNNNNNNNNNNNNNNNNNNNNNNNNNNNNNNNNNNNNNNNNNNNNNNNNNNNNNNNNNNNNNNNNNNNNNNNNNNNNNNNNNNNNNNNNNNNNNNNNNNNNNNNNNNNNNNNNNNNNNNNNNNNNNNNNNNNNNNNNNNNNNNNNNNNNNNNNNNNNNNNNNNNNNNNNNNNNNNNNNNNNNNNNNNNNNNNNNNNNNNNNNNNNNNNNNNNNNNNNNNNNNNNNNNNNNNNNNNNNNNNNNNNNNNNNNNNNNNNNNNNNNNNNNNNNNNNNNNNNNNNNNNNNNNNNNNNNNNNNNNNNNNNNNNNNNNNNNNNNNNNNNNNNNNNNNNNNNNNNNNNNNNNNNNNNNNNNNNNNNUCCAUCAAAUUGGGGCAAUUCAAGGCUUGAAACAUAUAAGAAAUGAUAAUAUUCCGUGUUGCCCUGAUUCGAGUCAGCAAAAGCCAUUAGUUGUCGGGCGUUACUUGUGCGUACUUGGACCUCCUCGGCAUGUAUAUCCAUGUAAGAAAGUGACUGCUUUGGAUUCAUUAUGAUUUCAUAUUGGAUUAUCACAUUCUUAUGCUUGAAGCGUGCUUAUGUUAUCCUAGUAGCUUGUUGUCCGUAUGUAUUUGUUCAGAGAAUGAUAAACUUGCAUUUGUGACUGGUGGGGUCUUCGUCCAGUUGAAGUGGUAUUGGCUCUUUCUGUUGGGUCAGUGUGGGUGUCGCUGUCAAUUUUUUUCUCAUAUAGGACAAUAGUGCAUGGAUGAAAGUUGCUUUCUUUGAGGUAAAGAAGUUGAGUAUAUUGAGCUAAAUCUUCACUGCACCAUGUUGACAUCUUCUCAGCUUGCCCUUCAUGCUUUGAGAUUGUAAAAUAUCAGCCCUCAGUUUUGUUGGUGGUGUAGUUGGUCGUUCAUCCUUUAAAGAUUAAAGAAUAAAAAAAUGCUAAGAACUUACUAGUUUCAAUUAGGUAGUCGAGCCCUUAAGAAUUGAUUUAUCCACCGUUGGAUGAUGUGAACUUCACAUGGAUACCAAAUUUUGACGAUACAAGUGAGAAAUCAUGAAUCCUAGAAUUCAUUCUUUAUGUUGUGAAUUCCCCUCUAGGUCAAGUUAAACCAGUCAUUAGGUAAUUAAAGGUAAUUGGAUGUGAUGGUUGAUCUAGCUAGUUUUGUUGGCUGCGAUGGUUGCAACAGCAUUGGAAUGAGUUGCCUUGGCAGUGGUGCUAACGCCAACGGCAGCGGUGGCUAUGGAAAUGGCAGUGCUCUCUCUUGCCCCAUUCCUUCAAUUUUAUUAUUUUUCUUUUUCAGUUUUAUGCUUCUUCUUUUUUUUUAACUUUUCUUUUUGCUUUUAUUAAGCUUACAUUUGAUAAGACACAUGAAAAUCUAGACAUUAUUCUAAUAGACAAGUACCAUAUAGACAAAUGAAUGAAUAAUUAAAAUAUGAUUAAACAUGAAAAUUGUUAGACGAACAUUAUUGUCGAUUUUGAGCAUGAGAACAACAGACAGUGCUGAUUAUUAAAUAAUAUUUCAUCAAAAUAGGAAAAAAAAUGUAAAAAGUGAAGUAGCCAAGCCAAUUUGCAUCCUGGAAAGUCUUGGUCUUCCUGAAUUUAUGUUAUAUGCAACAAUGAAAGUGCUAAAAUUUCGCAGCGAGAGGAGUGGCAAUAAUCUACUGAAGGGUGCUGAGGUAGUAGUAAUGAUCGAGAGCCGCUUAAUAGGAGAAUGCUAGUCCUUUUGAACACGAUUUUCCUGUUCAUGAGUUUUAUGCGUAGACCAUAAUUUCCAGUAGAUCAUACUGUUAGAUGGUUAUUUGUGACUCUUUUACUAUUGCUAAAGUAAAACAAAGCAACUUGCUUAAUGGAUUGGUUGGUGUGGUUGGUGUGCCUGACCCUUUUUCUCGUUCAGCUUAAAGCACGUGUUUUUGUUUUCCUUAUUGAACAAAGAAAGUUAGCCUUCUCGGAUGACAUGUAGUUGUAUAACGAAAAGUCUUGGUCUUCCUCAAUUUAUGAUUUAUGUACAUGAGCAAACAUUUGAUUGUGGAAACUCCAAAUAUCUGAGGAUAUUCUCCAAACAUUACGAGACAAGCACUUGUGGACGAAAAGUAUUUUCUAUCGAUUCCUCUAACCACUAAUGUGCAUCCUUAAAAGUCUUGGUCUUCCUGGCCUUUAUAGUUUUCUCUUUCCCUUAUCUCUUUAUCACUUAGAUUCACCAUCACCCAUUCCUGUCCCCCUGCUCAACAGUGUUCUCCUCUUGCUCAUCUGAACCAAGCAGUCUUGCUUGCUAGAUUGCUGUCGUUGAUCUCAUCCCGUUCACCGGUUUGCUCAGGGAAGUCUACUCGGAAAAGGUAAGAGACAUCUAUCUUCUUGCUCUAUUUUUCCCUCAAACUGAUGCAGCCGCAACUUUGCUACCUAAAGCAUCUGGUGGGCGUUUAUUACCCGAGAGCAACCACCUAUUCUUUCUUAAAUCUUUCUAUUAGUGGAGGCAAAGAAGAGGUAACAGCAGCAACAGAAGUUUGGUUCUUAAACCGAUUUCAUGCCUAUCUAUGAUCCUGAUUAAAGUUGAUGUCAAAUACUUGAUGUCGAGUUUAAUAACAAAGAACUAUUACUUCAAUUUUUGUUAGAUAGUAAUAUUAGGACAUUAAGAUUAAUUUUUAAUCUCUCCAUCAUUGAUCUCUUUACUAAAAACGCACUGACGUGGAAUAAUUUUGCUAAGUACAAGUUUGGGAUUUUACAUGAAAUAAUCACAUAUCUGUUUGGAAUUUUAGUCCAUUAAAUUGGGUAAACAACAAUAAAUAUCGUAAGAGGAUAGCUUCAUUCCUCUUAGAAGAGAUUCCCGGGAAAUUCACGUUUGCUACAGUUCUGCGGUGCCAAAAAAAUAAAUAAUUUUUGUUGUGUCUUUUCACAUGUUCACUCUUAUGGUAGAUUUACCAUCAACGGAAGGGGGUAAGGUGAAUUAAUAAGGUGUUUGUGAUUUAGUAUUCUUUUAAAGUGUGCCAGUGUAAUCAAUCGAGUUAAGUCAAUUCGAUUGCAAAUUAAACUUCACAUGAAGUAGUUUUUGCGGAAGCCCCAAGGGUGUUGCAUGUGGACGACUUGUUUUCAUCAUGCAAAAACCAUUGAUAGUUCAAUGCUGGAAAACUUAUUCAUGUAUUUUCUUUCAAGAUAGAGAAAAAUGUGAAGGUGUUCAUGAUAAAAAAAUUAAAUUUUGAAUUAUGGAAAUCAAAAUUGUGCUUUGUUAGAAAAAGACCAUGCGAAGACUUAGUGUUUUGUUAGAGAAGAAGGUAUUUCUACGUCAGAAUAGUUUCUGAGAUUGUUCAUCUUUUAUAAUGCGCAUUAAAUUGGUAUUAAGCAGAUUUCACAUAUUUUUCAACCCCAAAAAGCCCAACUUGUCAUUUUAUAUUGUACACUCCUAAAAGUGAGUAACUUUCUUAUAUUUGUUGACUCCCCCUUUUAAGUUCUAAUUCAUGCUAAAGAAUCUUUAGUCGGUCAUUUUUAAUUUUAAUUUUUGAAGGCGUCAAAAAAGUUAUUAUAUAUAAUUAAUUGGUGGGGCUGUAAAGCCAAGAACACAUCACUCCAUGGAUUUAAUCUCUCUCUCUCUAUAAUAUAUUUUCCCUUUGAGCCCGAGAGAGAGGGGACCAACAAUGCAUGUAAUCGGCGAAUUAAGGGUUUAGUACAUGUUUUAGAGAUAAUUCAUUAAAAAAAAGUGUGAAUGAAAAGUAAAUGUUUAUGAUCGUGNNNNNNNNNNNNNNNNNNNNNNNNNNNNNNNNNNNNNNNNNNNNNNNNNNNNNNNNNNNNNNNNNNNNNNNNNNNNNNNNNNNNNNNNNNNNNNNNNNNNAAAAAAAUACAAAGUCACCCCUGAAAGAAGUGAAAUGCUCAGACCAAAAAAAAGGAGUCAUAUGUUAAACAGAUUAAUAUGGCUCUAAUCUCCUUGUGAAUUUUACAUUAUGAUGUUAUCAAAUUACGGAAAACUCGUCAUUUUUUUUCUUAAUUGUAGACCAAUAGAAGACAAAAAUAAAAGAGGGACAUUUGCUUUCAUCCAAGGUAAAUAGGAAAUACAUUGUUGAAAGCAACCUUCUUGUUUGUUCGAUCUUUUCAUACUUGUCGGAAUCAUUAGAUCACCAUUGCUUGUGAUGGAGAGCACGUUAUGUCUGGGUGAACUUCACGCCUUUAUGAACGAUUCGGAAUACAGAAUGUUUAAAGAACGCUUCUAGAGAGAAUGCCUUCUUGCUGCACAAAAAGAUGUAGAUAAACAGACGAAAGGCUGGAUGGAAAGCACAUGCUCUCCGAACGAUUCUGCUCAUUGAUCGCAUAUUCUGGAUAUGUGAUCAAUGUAUGCUUUAAGUGGCAGUUACAGUGUUAAAACCUCGUAGCAAGAGUGCUGAGGUAAUAGUUGAUAAUCGGAAUCGCUUGAUAAGAGAAUCAUGGUCCUCUGAACACAAAUUUCCUGUUCAUCAGUCUGAUGCAUAAAGUAUAAUUUUCAGUAGAUUAUAUAAUGUUAGCUGGUGAUUUUUUCACUCCUUCACUAUUUGCAAAGCGAACUAAACCAACUUGGUUAAUGGAUUAGUGAUGUGCCUGACCCUUUUUUCUUGUUUAGGCAUGUGCUUUAUUUUCCUUAUUGAACAGACAAAAUUAGCUGCCUUUGAUCUCUUCACAUGGUCAUUCACGUUGAAGGAGGAAUCAGUAAUCUUAUCAUAUCUUAAACAUAUGCAAAUUUUCAGCACUAUAACUGUCACGUAAAAGCCUAUUCACCAAUAAAGCAGAAAAAAAAGAACAAUGAAUCAUAAAGAUUCUAACAAUAUAUGAAUGCGAGAAAAGCCAACACAUAAGUCGUAAGCAAUGAAGUUUUUGAUGAAAAUACGCGUGCGCUCUAAGUUGGUCAUGUGUAGAAAAAUCACAUUUUAUCCUCUAUUUGGAUAACCACAAGGAAAGUCUCGAUCUGAAGAAAAAGGGAGAACAAUCGACAAAACAAGCACUCUUGGACAAAAAACUAUUUAUUUUGAUUUGUCUAACCUUUUGUAUGUGUCUCUUAAAAGUCUUGGUCUGUUUUUUUAUUCUCUUUGGUCAGUGAACGUCUUGGUCUUCCUAUAAUUCAUAGUUUUCACUCUCCACUAGCUCAUUUUAACUUUGCUUCAUCAUAACACCUUUGUUGUUCUCUACAGUGACUGAUUCAGCCAUGGCCAUUGGAGAGAUCGUUUUGGGUUCCUUCUUGGCUUCCCUCUUUCAAGUCUUGUUUGAGAAGUUGACUCCUCUCCUUUUGGGCUCUACACAACGAGAAGGAAUCAGCAUUGCCCUGCUCAAGGAGUGGGAGGAAAAGCUGAAAUUGAUUAAUGCAAUGCUGGCUGAUGCAGAGGACAAGCAACUUGAAGGUAGUCAUCUAGUGAAGCUAUGGUUGGAUAAUGCUGGGGACUUGGCCUAUGACACGGAAGACUUGCUCAAUGAGUUCGCCAUCAAAACUGCUCAAGUUAAGAUGGAGGUAGAAUCCAGCACAAGCAAAGGUCGAAUGAAAUGGAAGUUCUCUUGCUUUGGCCGAAAUAAACCCUCUAGAUGGAAUCUGAACCCAUCAUCGCUUGUGUCUAAAACCAUGGUCCAAGAGAUCAAUGGUAGGUUGGAAGCGAUCGUCGACGAGAUGGCUCGUCUAGGCUUGGAAGCGAAUGUUGUGAACAGAUCCAACUGCAUCAAUAAAAGGGAUUCUACUAGUUCUCUGCCAGAGCGUCGGUUUUUUGGCAGGGAGGAGGAAGAAAGGGAGAUACUCAAACUAUUGAUCCGUGAGGUCAAAAAUAAUGAUGCCACACUAAGCAUAGUCGCGAUAGUUGGGAUGGGCGGUGUUGGAAAGACGGCCUUGGCUCAGCAGCUAUAUAAUAAUGCCGAAGUGAAUAGCUAUUUUGAGAAGAGAGCAUGGGUUUGUGUCUCAGAUGAUUUUGAUGUCCUUGACAUAACAAAGACUAUUUUGCAGUCAAUCACCGGAUUGUCCAGCGAGGGUGAUCUUAAUGUCCUUCAAGUUAAGUUGAAGGAUAGUAUAUCUGGGAAGAAGUUUCUUGUGGUUUUAGACGAUAUUUGGAAUGAGAAGUACAAAAAAUGGACUGAUCUCUUAAAGCCAUUUGAAGUGGGGGCUAGGGGAAGCAAGAUUAUCAUCACGACUCGCAACCUUAAAGUUGCUUCCAUAACAGGAGCUUUGCCAUAUCAUUUGAGGGAAUUGUCCUUUGAUAAUUGUGUCAGCUUAUUAGCCUUUCAUGCUCUUGGAGCAACAAAUUUUGAGAGCCACCCGGCUUUUAAAAUAAUAGGCAUGAAAAUAGCCGAAAGAUGUAAAGGUUUACCUUUGGCAGCGAAGGUGUUGGGCGGUGUCCUACGUACUAAAAGUAAUCCUGAUGAAUGGGAAGAUACCUUAAACAACAAAAUAUGGGAUCUUCCAAUAGCGGAGAAUGAAGAGGUUCUCCCAGUUUUAAAAUUAAGCUAUGUCCAUCUUCCUUCCCAUUUGAAGAGAUGUUUUGCUUAUUGUGCGGUUUUUCCCAAGGAUUACGAAAUUGAGAGGGAUGAGUUGGUACUCUUAUGGAUAGCAGAGGGACUUUUAGAUGGGCAAAAAGCAAAUGAGAAUAUCUUGAAAUUGGGACGGAAGCACUUUGAUGAGUUAGUAUCCAGGUCAUUUCUUCAACAAUCAAGUAUCGACGUAUCUAAGUUUUCAAUGCAUGAUCUUUUGAAUGAUCUGGCAAAGUUAAUUGCAAGAAGGACUUGCUUUAGCUCGGGGGGCUCUCAGGUGGCAAGUAAUGAACAUGAUGUGUCAUCUCUUGAAAAAACUCGUUAUGCAUCAUUCAUCCCAUUGUGGUAUGUUACAUCAAAAUGCCUGAAACCAUAUCAAGGAAUGAAGGCACUAAGAAGUUUAAUUCUGGUGUGUGAUGGAUAUUUCUCUAUUUCCAACAAGGAGCUGCAUGACUUGCUUAAAAACUUGAAGUACUUGCGAGUAUUCUCGUUAUGUCAUUGUUUCAUCGAAGAGGUACCGAAUUGUGUUGGUGAUUUAAAACAUCUUCAAUAUCUCAAUUUCUCGUACACUCAUAUCAAGAGGCUACCUGAGUCAAUUGACGCCUUGUGCAAAUUACAAGCUCUGAUUUUAAGAGGUUGUCAAAUGCUUUCAAAGUUGCCUCAAGGUAUCACAAAGUUAGUCAGCUUACAGUUUCUUGAUAUUAGAGAUACAGUGAGUCUAAAAGAGAUGCCGUUGGGUAUUGGUAAUUUAGAGGAUCUUAUUAUAUUGUCCAAAUUUGUGGUAGGACGAGAGAAAGGGUCGCAGUUGAAAGAGUUAAAGAAGUUGCCACAUCUUGAAGGAGAAUUAUUCAUGUCAGAAUUGCAAAUGGUAGAAAAAGAUAUAGAUGCAACCGAUGCUAAUUUUCUUCGAAAGCUAGACCUUGCCAACUUAUCCUUGCAUUGGGAUAAACAUGUGGGAAAUCUCCAAGAUCAUGAGCAUGAAGCACGAGUGCUUGACUUUUUGCAACCUCACACUAAUCUUGAAAAUCUCACUAUUUUGAACUAUGGUGGUGCAAGAUUCCCAUCAUGGUUAGGUUGUACGUCCUAUUCUAAAAUAGUGUCUUUGUGCUUGUGGGAUUGUCCUAAUGUUAUAUCACUACCCAUACUUGGACAACUACCUUCACUUAAGGAAUUAUCUCUUAAACGUCUAUGUGCAAUAAGAAUGAUAGGCUCUGAAUUUUACGGAGGUAGAAGGCCUUUUUCAUUGUUAACCACUUUAGAGUUCAAAGAGAUGUUGGUAUGGAAGGAUUGGUCUCCCUAUGUCGAGGGCUCAGAAGAAGAAGUUUCAUUCUUCUGUUUGCAGCAUCUUGUUGUCUGGGGCUGUCCUUUGUUGGUCGGGACAUUACCUUGUCAACUUGAUCAUCUCAUAAGGCUUGAAAUUCAUUCAUGUCCACAUUUGAAAAACUCAACCAACGAUGUUUGUCUUCCAUCUCUCCAUGAGUUGUUCCUUGAGGAUUGUAACAAGGAGAUCUUGAAGAGAUUGGUCAACCUAACUUCUUUGACCAAUCUUAGAAUUAAGAAUCUUGUAGAGCUUGUUUGCUUUGAUCAUGGGUUAAUGAGUAACUUGAUCAAGCUAAAGGAGCUUCAUAUAGAAGGGUGUGACCAGUUACAAUACUUGUGGGAAGAUGGAAAUGAAAUGCUAAAAUCUAUUGCCAGCUUUAGUAAUCUCACUAUUUUGAAUAUUAGUGAGUGUCCAGCAUUGGAGAUGGAGAAUUUCCCUCCCCUUCCCAUCACCUUGUCGUCUCUUGAAAUUAGUGAUUGUCCGAAGAUGAAGUCUCUGCCAAAUCACUGGUGUCAUCUUACAUCCCUCGAGUACCUCCUUAUUAGACAGUGCAAAAAUAUCAAAUGCUUGCCCGAAGGAGGUUUGCCUCCCAAUUUAGUGACCCUCAUAAUUAAUGGGUGCGAGAAUCUGGAGCAGCCAAUGAGAGAAUGGGGCUUACCCCUGCUCAUGUCCCUCACGUUUCUAAAUAUUGACGGAAGCAGCAUGGGAGGGGAGGGAGAGAAGGUGCGGUUUCCUUCAGGAGACGAGGACGAGGAGGAUGCGUGGCGUCUUCUCUAUCCUUCCUCUCUAACACGUCUUUAUAUAACAAAUAUGAGGAACGUGGAAAGAUUAUCACGCGGUCUUCGGAACCAUCUCUCCUCUCUCCGACGUUUAAGGAUUGAAGAUUGCCCGAAGUUGAGGGACUUGCCAGAGGAUGGCCUCCCUCCCUCCCUCCAUACAUUCAUAAUUCAUGGAUGCGAGAUUCUAAAAGAUCGAUGCUCAAAACACACCGGCGACUAUUGGCCCCUCAUAGAUCCUGAGCAUCGUGAUUGAUCGCCAUCUGAUCCAACAAAUUGAUUCGUCCUGGUACAGUCAAGUUUUCUAGGGUUCGGGUAAGUUUAUGGUUUCGAAGGCAUCGAUUUCCCCUUCUGCUUCCUCAACUCGAUGCUCAAUACAAAUCGAUACUUUCCCAUGUAGAUGUUUCACGUAACUUUCUGGAAGUCCGAGAAAUCCCCUAACAUACGCAUUGAUUGGGUUCGGAUCCAAUGAAGUUAGAUCGAUCCGCUUUCGCUUUCAUUUGCCAAGUGACACGAUUCAUCCUUCAAUGUGCAGUCAGUUUUCUUGCGGUUAGGGUAAGUUUUUGGGUCUUGAAUGCAUCAAUUUCGCUUCUGUUCUUCAAUUCGAUGCUUUAUGCGAAUUAAUUUUUUCCCAUGGCAAAGUGUCGAAUGGAAUUUCCAGAAACCGACUUAUCGUGAAAUACAACAAAAAUUCAGGGCUGAAAGAAUGAUAUUUAGUUGCUUGAAUCCCAUCAAGAGCUUCCUUUAGUCUCCAAUUGCACUGCUUGCGGAAGUUGAUGAUAUUCUUGUAUGCCACUGCAGCAUCCAUCUCAUCUACUGCGUUGGGCCUGCUUUUCUCUUCAUUCACUGCAAUGCACUUUCGAACAGCAAGUGAUUCAGCCUCCUCUGCAGGCAUGCAUCUCCUCUGUUUCAUUUCCGGCCUCAAUCCCAACAAAGGCAUGUUAUGUAAGACCCAUCUUAGUUAAUCUUCACAAAACCUAGCUCUGUUUUACUCCAGGCACCGUGCCUUUCAUCCACCCGAUCGUGACUCUGCUUCCAUUUUUACUGGAACACCCUUCAAAAGAGCUUUUUUGACCUGUGCAAGUGAUAGUUUUUAGUAUCUGGUGAUUUAAGGGUAAAAGUUACUAUAUUUUGAGCUUUCCAGAUAUACCAAUAGGUCUGGGCAAUCAUUCCUAGGAGUUAUUAAGCAUACAAAUGAGUUAUUUGUGAGUUAACAAAUCACAAGAAUUUUUCAAUGAAAAAAACAAAUAGAAAAUCAUCAAGAGGGUAUCCCAGUUCAUUUUUCAUUGCUGUGAAUUGGGUAUGCAUAUAAUUUUGUUCUGAGCACUCUUCGCAUGAAAGGUAAUUUUUAUUCAGGACUAAUUGCUUUGUCUUGUUUCAGAUUUUUGGCUGAGAAAUAUGAGGGAUGUGGAAAGACUAUCAACUGUGGACGAUGUAACAAGCAUGGAGUGUUCUGUUUCCUUCGUCUCUACAUCUCUUUGGAUGAGAACUAUGAGGAAUGUGGAAAGAUUAUCAAGUGAUCUUCACAGCUAUCUCUCCAUUCUCGAAUGGCUACAUUUUAUGGGUACUGGAACUUGCCAGAGGAUGGCUUCUUUCCCUCUUCCAAGUAUUCGGCACAAUGCAAUUUCAAAUUCUGAGAGAUUGAUGCUCAAAACUCAGUGGUGACUAUUGGCACCUCAUCCAAGAUAUCCAGCUCAUCGUAGUUGAUCGAGUUCGGGUAAUAUAAGAAGAUAUCUCUCCAAUGUCUAAUUUUUGUCCUUCAGGUAAUGAUUCAGACGUCCUUUCUUUCUUGCACACUCGUCAUUUAGCUACUGUUGCUGCUGCAGGAUCCAUGUCUAUUCUGAAAUCGUCAACUCGAUACUAAAAACUUCAUGUUAUUCAAUGGACGAGCUUCACCUAAAUUUCCACAAACCAGUUACCGAAGGUCCAACAUUGACAUUUAGGUUGCUCUGUUUUGUUUAACAAGGAAGUACGCAAUGAAAUGGUUAAAAUGCUUGCAUCGUACAGCGAGUCAACCAUUGUUUUAUACAAGUGACUAUUCCUCAAAACAAAUAAUACUUGCAUGGAUUUGCUCACAGUGCUGGAAUUAUGAUGCGUGGAUGUGCCUGUUUGAUGUUAUAUUUUGAACUUUUUUCAUUCCCAAAACUUGUUUAUCUUUCCACUCAUGCAAAUGCACUAUGCUUUGCGUGAGAAUCAUGAAGAAUUGUUGCUUUUAUAUUGAUAUUUUUCUGCAAUUUCAGCGUUUGUUGUAUUUUCUCUUCCAAAUAUCUUCUUUUUUAUGCUCUAGCUCAGUGACCUGAACUAUCUCUACUAUGCUUGUCGGGCAAAACAUCCCACUGUCAUCUUUGCUUGGCAAAAUCUCUCGGUAGGAUCAAAUGCAAACACUGUCAAGUUAGGCAACUAAUGUGCUUACGUUUAUCUUUUGCAACUUUACAAAAAAAAAAACAAAAACAAAACAAAAACAAAAGGCUAUUUAUUUUGGUAGGUGUACUGAUAUGCUCUAAACUUUUUUUUUAGUGACAUGCUCCGAAAGAUUAAUCCAUAUCAUGAUGUCAAUUUUCGAGUUCUAUAUUCAUGGUCAAAUGGAGAAGCUUUUUUACUUAUAACAACAGCAGCUACUGUAACGAUGCAAAAAAUAGGAUUUAAAACAGGUGUUUUCAAGUUGGUGAAUAUUGUUGACACCUAAUUUUUGCCCAAAUUAUUGCAUAUAGAUUAUCUAGGUAUUUAAAAUGGAAGAUGUUUUCCCUAAAAAAAAAUUAAAAAAUUAAAAAAUUAAAAAAUUAAAAAAAAAAGAGAUAAAAGAUAAAAAAAAAGAUUAAAAAGAAAAGAAAAGAAAAAAAGUUGGGGCCAAUGAUCUAAAUGUGACUAGCCAAGCCCAGGAGGUCAUAUUGGAAUUCAAAUGGCAAGUUGGGGCCCAAAUGCAAUUUCCAAAAGUCGAGGGACCAAUUCGUAAAUUUUGCAAAAUUUGCGCCCGAGCCCUUAAUUCAUCAUCUUGGUCAUCAAUUAAGUUGAAAUUGAAUUUGGUCCAAGCAGAAUCAAUCAAAUUGAGCCAAAAAGGACCUAAUUGCAUUGAAUUUGGCAUUUUCGGGCAAGAAAAUGGCCAACUUUGAGGUACUUUCUUGUAAAAUUGGGUGGAGAUAAUUGCGAAAAAUGGUCAAGAUCUUAAACUACUAUACAUGAGCUUUCUAAUUGAUCAAAAAACGCAGCCAAAUUAGUGGAUUAAAGCACUCAAAUCAGCAGCCAAAACUCAGUCCACGAGUUGGUCUUAAUCCGGAGUUGCUGAGUAAGCAAUUUGGUGGCCCCACCAUAUCCUCCUCAGCUGCCCAACCAGCCCGAUAUUUGCACUUGAUGGAAGACCGUAUAUAGUAGUGCAAGUGGACGAAAAUUGGCCAGAGAUAAGCUUCUGACAGCACCGGAAAAUCGCAGCAAAACCUGCACACUCAACAGCUGCAGAAGUUAAAAAAUUGGCUAAGUCAGAAGAGUAGUUGAAGUAGCCCUGUUGACAGGCUUGGUCGGUGGGCAAAAGGCUGACCAAAAAUCCCUUAAUUCGGGGGAUAAGGUCACGGAAGCAAGGUCUUUCGAGAGAGGAGAGAGAGGAGACGAGAGGGAGAGGGGAGAGCUCGGAAUCGUCCCCCAAAGAGGCCCUCAGAAGCAACUCCAGAAAAGAAAACCCAGAAAUUCCAGAUCAACCUUCUGAGAGAAAAGUGAGAUUUUCGCGAACCUGCAGCCAAAAUUAGCCAAAACCUUAAACUAGAGAGUGAAACAUCACUCAAAUAUCUUUCCAUCCAUAGGUCGCACGUCCAAAAUGUAGAUCGGGAAGGCCUCCUAAAGCCCCCCGAAACAGUGCCCUCCUGUCGGGCCAAGAAAGUCCGAAAUUUUUCUAAGUGUCGAGACUGGUUGGUCACGAGUGAGGAAAGCCAGUGUUUUUGAGAAAGUUGAGAGACAAAUGAGGAAAAUAUUGACUUUUAACCCAGACUAGAAUACAUAUAGUUUUUCGUGGUGUCAAUUUUUCCAACAAAAUACGUCUUGAAGUCUAAUGUUAGAGCCCAACGAAAACCUUCGUUGUCAGUUCAUUUUUUUUGCAGAUCUCAUUUCUAGUUGAAGAAGUCAACUUCCACAGGCCCCCCGAGGAUAAUUUGUCGGUUUCAUCGGCCAAGAACCACUUGAAAAAGAAACUAGGAAGAAAGGUAAGCACCCUAGAUGUAUUUAUUUUCGAGUUUGAGCAUGUUUUGAUCAUGAAAAUCAAGAGGAAAACCGGCCCGGAAAACUGAUUUCUGAGGUUGAAAUUUUUCUUAGUGUUUGAAAUCUCUUCAAGAGUGUUGCAUGUGUGCUUCUUGGAGAGGUCUCUUUGAUGUUGUUCGGUGGGUCAUUCUCUGUGAUGUUUAUUGCAUUUGAAAGCUCAUGUUACCUACUUUCAUUCGGAUCAAGUAAUGUUUCCCUUAGAUCUCGUAUGUGAUAGGUGUCGGGGCUUGAAUAUGGGCACUCAACCUGUUUGCUUGACUUGGGUUCAAAUCCAGAUUUGCAAAAUCAGAUCAAACCCGCAUAUUUGAUGAGGAUUCCAGCUUGGUUUUCAUGUGUUUUAAGCUGUGUUUUUUUAUCUAUAUUACUCCUUGCAUGUUGUAGUUUAACCUUGAUGUUUUAGUUCCAUAUAAUAUUGCUCAUGAGUUGAGAUUGAAGACCGCAAACAUGGCCCGAGGAAGCUGAUUGGGGCUAGUUUAAUGCACCAAGUGUUCGACAAAAUGCUCAAACUAAGCUUCGAUCUUGAAACGAUCGAUUUGAGCUUGAUUAUUGUGAUAUUCAUGUGCUGUGUUACUCCAUGUUAGCAUAGAUCGGUUUAAGGAAUUAUUAUUAUUUUUUUUUUUAAAAAAUAAUUAAAAAAGAGAAAAAUAUGAAAAUUUCAAAAAUAUCAAAAAAUGUUAGAUAGCAUCAAAUUAGGAUAUAAAUGACAUAUAUGAAAUUUUCCUAAUUUUAAAAGGUCAUUUUCCUAAUUUAAUGCUAUUUUGGUAUUUUAUAACCAUUUUUGUAAAUAAUCCAUUUUGCGUAGAUUAAAACUAUUUAAAGUAAUUUCAUGCAUAUAGAGUAAUUUCAUGCAUAUUUGAACUCUCAUUUUGCUCAUGGGGGUCUUGUCCCGGGGCGUGAUAACAAGGCCAUGUAAUAUUAUUUGCCCGACUUGUAUCGAGUUUACCUUUUCCGCGUUUAUUUUCAAGUCAUUUCAAUUUCUUGGAUGUUUACUUACGCGCCGCUUUUCAUUAUUUUGAGUGUAAAUUUCUCUUCUAAAUUAUGUUAGGAUUAGUCUAGACAUUAAAAAAAAAAAUACAAAAACAUUUGCAUGGACACUUAGUGGUUUCAUAAAGAUUAUAAUUGGUAAUCAAGAUUGUAUGGCCAUUUAGAUAAACAACCUUCCAAGUUAGUGGUACCGCAAGGGCGCUAAUAGAAACAUUGGCGUAAACAAGUCCCCGUUCCUAGAAAUCUCUGGUUGCGUAUGAAUCGAGACAACACUCCCGUGUCUUGAUUGGUUUCUAGCCGACCUCAAUAGGCUAGUGGCGACUCCUAGAAUUACAUAGGUUGUUAAUAACUAAAAAACGAAUCCAAUGUCGCGCGGGGUAUGGGCUUGGGAGAGCCCGCGCCUAAUCUAGGGCCAUUGGUCCACCUCUUUACGCAAAUACCCCUAAACCUUCUUCUUUUUCCCCGGACAGAAAAAAAGAGGUCGUGACAAAUAUGACAACAAAAUUUGAUUGAGCCCUGCAGUAUCAGCCAUUUAAAUCUGAGUUCCUUGUUAAAGUUCAUCAUUUAUCUUUCUCCUAUUCAACUUCCCACACCAUCUCACAGCACAUUUUCUUUUUCUUUGUUGUUGGGAAAAGGUGGAAAGGAGCAAUAAGGAAGACUAUGAUUUGUCCAAAUUUUGGGAUAUUUCUAUGCAAGAUUCUGAAAGAUCACUGCUCAAAACUCACUGGCAACUAUUGGCCCCUCAUCCAAGAGAUCCCUCCCUUCUACAUUGAUGGUGUUCAAAUCCAGUGAAUUGAAAUUGAUCACACCCGAGCCAUGACAAAUGAUUUAUCUUCAUUGACUACUUUUCCUUCUUCAGGUAAUUCUUAUAACUUCUUUCAUUCUUUUGCUUCCAUUUGCUAUCUGCCACAAUUCGUUGUUCCACCUAAAGUCAGCUUUCUGGGGUUGCGGUCAAUAUUUUGGGUUUGAAGGUAUCAAUUUCUGUUUUGUUCUUCAGUUUGAUGCUUAAUACAGAUUGAUUUUUUCCCGUGGAGAUGUUUCUCAUAGAAUUUCCAAAAACCAGCCACUGAAGGUCAGAGACUGACAUUUGGGUGUGUCGUGUGUGUCCUCGAUGGGGUCUUUUCUUUUUAGGCCAGCAACUCACUCACGGUUGAAAUAAGCCAAAUGUGAUAAGAAGGAUGGGGGAUAUAGAUGUAGGUCCCAGUUUUGGCAAAGCUACCUAAUGGGCACAAGCAUUUGGUUUUCGUGAAAUAUAGCUAAAAUUUGGGGCUGCAAAAUGAUCUUUAGCUUCUUGAAUCCCAUCAGGCACAUCCUUUAGUCUUUAAUUGCACUGUUUGGGAAAAUUGAUAAUAUCCUUGUAUACCACAGCUGCAUUCAGCUCCACUACUACCUUGAUUCAGCUUUUUUUUUAGCUACUGCAAUGCUCUUUCGAACAGCAAGUAAUUCAGCCUCCUUUGCAGAUCUAGCUUGCACUACCACACCUCUGCAGGCAAUUAUCUUCCCUGUUUCAUUUCUGGCCAUAAUCCCAAUGACAGCAUUUUUAGUUCCUCCAAAGUAAGAGCCAUCACAGUUAAUCUUCACAAAACCUAGCUCAGGUUUACUCUACACACCUUGCCUUUCAUCCACCCAAUCAUGACCCAGCUCUCCUACAUUUUUACAAGAAACGCAGUUUGAAAGUGCUUUUUUAAUUUGUAGGAGUGACAGUUUCAGGAUCAAGUGAUUUAUGGUCAAAGAUUACUGCAUUUCUAGCAUUCCGGAUAUACCAACUGGUGUAGGCAAUCAUUCUUAAGCGUUAUCAGCCUGUACCAAGUCAUUCGAAUCUCCUAGCCUCACAUUUGUAGAAUAUCAACCCAUACCAAUAAGUCACCAUCGCUAGUGAUUAGCAGUCUCCCAUACUUGUUAGUCAACAUAGCCAUAAGGGUUUUUUAGCAAAAGGAAAAACCAUUCAAAAGGGUCACCGAUUCCUGACAAUAAUAAAGCAAAGUAUCCCGGUUCUUGUCUUGUUUGCUCAUUUUUGGUUGCUUUUGGGUGGGUAUGCAUAUGAUUUUGUUUGUCGGAUCACUCUUGUAGUUGUUCAUUAAGCAUGAAAGGCAACUGUUAUUCAGGACUAAUUGAUCACCCGUUCCAGGUUUUUGGAUGAGAAAUAUGGGGAAUGUGGAAAGACCAUCAACGGUGGAGGAUGUAUGAUGCAUGGGGUCUUCUGUUUCCUUCCUCUCUAACCUCUCUUUGGAUGAGAAAUAUGAGGAGUGGAAAGACUAUCAAGUGGUGUUCAUGGUCAUCUCUCCUCCCUCAAAAGUUAUAUUUUCUAUGUUGCUCGAAGUUUGGGUACUUGCCAGAGGAUGGCUUCCCUCCCUCCCUCAACGUAUUCCACAUAAUUCAAUGUGAGAUUUUGAAGGAUGGAUCCUCUUUUGCGGGCAACUACUGGCACCUCAUCCAAGAAAUCCCACUCAUUGUGAUUAAUCUAGUUCGGAUCCAACAGGAAGAUUU
rnacentral:lncRNA from 1 species